AGAUUAGCCUUGUUGCUGAGCUCCAUAGAGCUGCCUCUCUUCUGCUGCUCUCUCUCCCUCAGGGUGGUUUCUCUGAAGUGGGGUUCACACAGUGCUACUGAGCCUCACAUCACUAUCGAGAUCAUGGAGGCUUACAGUUCCAUGAUAUAGUUGAUCCUUAUGGGGAAGUUUCAGUGGCAGGAAUUUGAAGCCUUCAUUACAUCCGCAGUCAAGAGCAGAAAACAAUAAAUGCAUGCAAGCUC
rnacentral:lncRNA from 1 species